rfam:Leucobacter sp. 7(1) genome assembly, contig: Scaffold32
GGGGCCGAUCGGAUUCGACACGUCGAUUUGAGACUGUGAGAAGCGGGUCGAGGACGCGGAGUUAUCUCGUUAACGCCCUUCGCAAACCAAUAGGUGCCACUUCUAAGCGCACCGACUUCGCUCUCGCUGCCUAAGCACGAGACCGAGUCCGUCAGGCCGGGUGUGCCUCUGCCCCGGUUUCCUGGCGUCAUUUAGGGGGCUAGCUCGCACGUUGCGCCUCAGGGCGUGUGGGGACUUUUGCUGAGGCUGGGCCUGUCGCACUAGGUGUUCGUGGCAAAGAGCGAGGCCGAGUAGAACGCUAAUACGAACUACACCCGUAGAAGGCAUGGAAUCGUCGAAGUGGACCGGGGUUCAAUUCCCCGCGGCUCCACUA